rnacentral:tRNA from 1 species
AGGUUGUUUAGUUUAAGCAUAAAACCCUUACCUUGAAAGUAAGAGAUAAAUUUUAACAGCCUG